rnacentral:tmRNA from 1 species
GGGGGCGAUCGGUUUCGACGGGAAAUGCGUGAUUUUAAAUGGCAUGUCGAGCUCCAAGUGCUCGUUAAUCUCUUGGGAAAACCAUAAAUGCCGAUUACGGCUACAUGGCCGCUGCUUAAUUAAGCUGGCCCGUUCUUGAUUAAAUUUGUCUAUGGUUUUUUCAAAGAACGUCAAUCACAUGGACUGGUUCUUUUGUAGUUUGCGACCUAAGGACGAGAUUUAAGCAAUCUUAGUUUGUGAUAGUUGCGUCAUCAGAACAAUUACAAAUGAAAUAAAUCUGUAUGACUAAGCGUGUAGAUAUUUACUUUCAUUCUUUUUCGGACGGGAGUUCGAUUCUCCCCGCCUCCAC